AUUUCUCAUAGCUAUAAAAACUCAGAUAAAGGACAAAGAUCAGAGCAAACGGUGUAAGUUUUUUUUUUCGCUAUGCAGUCUAAACAAACCUAAGGAUUUUUUCUUCUUCUUGAUUUUCCUGCAACAAACAAAAAUACAGACAAUAAACCUUAUAUCAUUGUUUCUACUCGACACAUUGGAAUAUGGGUGUCACUACGUGCUAAUGCUCAAGUAUCAAGUGUAGCAACACGGUUUGCUCGAGAUGCUUUGCGGGUUCUUUUUUUUUUUACUUCUCAAAAUAAUGUCAACAGGAGCAAUACUAAGGUCCUUUGUUAUAUAAAUUCGCUUGAGAUGUUUCUGAUGUAGAUAGUUGUUCGUGCUGAUGGACUUUCAACAUCAGUAGUCGUUAGGAUGGUUGUAGUAAGUGUUGCCAUAUUUUUAUGCAACUAUGUAUGUGUGGUUGGAGUGAAUUCAUCUGGAGCAAUAAAGGCAACAUAUUGUUCGUAAAAUCUUCUAAUAUUUCACAUUCUUUUGUUUCACUAAGAGUACCAAAUGUUCUACUUAUUAUUUAAUCUAAUAUUCUGCAACAUACAUUUGUUUCUACAGGUAAGAAAAGUUACCUCAAGUAUGCAACAAAGAACUUUGCCUUGGCUGUAAAGGAAUAUGUAGCUUCUGAUGAAGGUGUUUUCGAUUGGAACAACAACAUCACUACAAUGUUUGUGGACUAAUCCUUUUUAAAGUCGAGUACUUCUGUAGCAUUACUCCAGUAUGUUGUAACAGCUAAGCUAUCCAAAUCUACACAGAAAUUGCUAAUUUAGUUUAGAAAUGUUGUAACUAAUAGUAAAAAUUGAACGA